AUAGAGGGAGUGAUAAAGGGAUAUUGAAGGAUGUAGAGCUUCUUAAGCAAAUAACUGACACAUCACGUGGAGCAAUUUCUGCAUUUGUGGAGCGUACAACCAAUGAGAAGGGUCAAGUAGUUGAUGUAAAAGAUAAACUGAGCUCAAUCCUUGGGUUUGGUAUAAAUGAACCUUGGGUUCAGUACUUGUCAAACACGAAGUUUUAUAGGGCUGACAGGGACAAACUUAGAACAUUGUUUAUGUUUUUGGGAGAAUGCUUGAAGCUGAUUGUGGCUGACAAUGAGAUAGGGAGUUUGAAACAAGCAUUGGAGGGCAAAUAUGUAG
rnacentral:lncRNA from 1 species